UUUUUUAUAAAAAUAAUUUAUUUAUUUAGAGUUUUAGUAUUUAGUAAAAAUUAAUUUAUAGAUUUAUAGUUUAAUAGUAUUGUAAAAGAAUUAAUUAAAUUUUUGAAAGAAUAUUUUUAGUACCUUUUGUAUCAGGGUUAAUUAAAAUUUUUAAUUUUUUUUUAAUUUCUCAAAAUUUAUAGAGUUAAUUUUAUUAUUAAUUUAUUGUUUUAUAAAUAUUUAAAAAAUAAUAUUAGUUUUGAAAUUUAAUUCGUUAUAUUAUAUUUAGUUAUUUAAGAUUUAAAUUUAAUUUAAAAUUUUAAAAGUUAUUUUGAUUUUAUAUAUUAAUAUUUUAAAUUUAAAUUAUUUUAGGGAUAAGCUUGAAAUUUUUAUAUAAUAGGUUUUUUAUUUUAAUAAUUUAUAGGAAUAGAAAUUUUUAUUUUAAGUUUGUAAAAAUUUAUUAUUUAUUUAAUUUUAAUUUAUUAUAAAUUUAUUUAUUUUUUUUAUUAAAUUUUAUUAAUUAAUAUUUAAUUUUUAGUAAUAAUGAUUUAAUUAGUAUAAUUUAUAUUUAUAAAUUAUGAAUUCGGCAAAAAUUAUUUUCAUCUGUUUAACAAAAACAUUGUAUUAAGUUUAAUUUAAUAUAGGAUCUGCUCAAUGAUUUAUUAAAUAGCUGCAGUAUUUUGACUGUGCAAAGGUAGCAUAAUAAUUAGUCUUUUAAUUGGGGACUUGUAUGAAAGAUUUGAUGAGAAAUAAACUUUAUUAUUUAUAUAAUUAGAAUUUUAUUUUUAAGUAAAAAAGCUUAAAUUAUUUAAAGGGACGAUAAGACCCUAUAAAACUUUAUAAAUAUGAAAUUUAAUUUUUUUGGAUUUAUAAAUAUUUUAAUUUUAUUAUUUAUUUUAUUGGGGUGAUAAAAAAAAUUAUUAAACUUUUUUUAAAAUUUUACAUUAUUUAAUGAAUAUUUGAAUUAAAAUUUUUAAUUAUAGGAAAAAGUUACUUUAGGGAUAACAGCGUAAUUAAUUUUUUAAGUUCAAAUUUAAAAAUUAGUUUGCGACCUCGAUGUUGAAUUAAGAUUAAUCUUAGGUGCAAAAUUUUAAGUAUUAGGUCUG
rnacentral:rRNA from 1 species